GCCCGGCUAGCUCAAUCGGUAGAGCGUGAGACUCUUAUGAAGAUACCUGACUCGGACUUCAGCAAUCUCAUGAGAUCAUCUCACGAGAUCAUCUAGGUCCGACCCUCACGUCGGGCU